CACCUUGAAGCUCUGCUGCAAGAUCCACGGCAAUUUUAUAGUCUUACUCACAUAACCGAGUAUGAUUAUUUACAUUGGCAAGAAUCAGUAGGUAGUUAUUGUGGAACCAAGUACGUCCAACGAUAAACCACUGUAUGGAACAAUGAAACACACAUACAUUAAUUUGCUUAUAUUGCCUGAAAUUAUGGAUCAUGCAGCAGAGCUUCAAGGUGAAUGGGCAAAAACAUAUCGAAGUUGGAUGCCAUCUCACAUGGAUUCCAGGUU
rnacentral:misc_RNA from 1 species